UUUUUUCGUUGAAAACGAAAAAUUGACAUGUCUCAAUCCUAAAAAUAUCAAAAAAAUAACGUGUCCCAGUUACGGGGUUUUAUCGGACACAUGAUUACACAGAUAUCGUGUUGAUUGAAGUUGCCAUCUUCACUUACACAUCUCUGACGUUACACACUUCUAGAUUACGCAUGCGCGUGUGUAAAAAAAGCGGAAGUCCAAUUGUUUUGAAGCGGGAUACAAAAACGUGUGGAAAAGAAGACACAGAGGAAAGCCUGGGCACAGAAUCCUAGAUUCUUUUGAUAAGGAUGAUUUUUAUGCUGGAAAACGAAUGUUCAAGGCAACCAGAAGAUUGAGUCCAUCCUGAACAUAGAGACAACACAGAUAUUAGCAAAGCUGGAUAAUAUUGCUAGAGGAUUAGUUAAUGCAACUCAGCAAGGACUAGUGAUGGAUAUGUUCCAGGUUCCACAGCUAGGAGAAUGUCAGGAAGAAAAGCCUCAUCAUUAAAAGUGUUACAGAGGCAGUAAAGGAAACUGAUGGCAUUGUUUUUGUUUGGGUGAUGAGAAUAAGAAUGAGGAGGAGAUAGAUGAUAGUCGAGACAAUCAGGAUGUCCACACCGUCACUCCAGGGAAGAAGAAGUCAUUUCUGAUCCUAGAUCUACUGUGGAAGAUUCUACAUGCAAGUGACAAGAGAUACAAAAAAAUCCCAAGGACAUCAUAAAAAAUGAAUUUAAUCAACAGACAUUGUGGAAAAGAUUUUCUAAAAAAAAUUGUAAUAGGA